UACGAAGGGGGCUAGCGUUGUUCGGAAUUACUGGGCAUAAAGCGCACGUAGGCGGACAUUUAAGUCAGGGGUGAAAUCCCGGGGCUCAACCCCGGAACUGCCUUUGAUACUGGGUGUCUAGAGUAUGGAAGAGGUGAGUGGAAUUCCGAGUGUAGAGGUGAAAUUCGUAGAUAUUCGGAGGAACACCGGUGGCGAAGGCGGCGACCUGGUCCGUGACUGACGCUGAGGCGCGAAAGCGUGGGGAGCAAACAGG
rnacentral:rRNA from 1 species